rnacentral:tRNA from 1 species
UGUGGCUCAGUGGUAGAGUGCUCACCUCACAGGUGGAGGGACCUGGGUUCAAUCCUCAGCA